CAGUUCGGAUUGUAGUCUGCAACCCGACUACAUGAAGCUGGAAUCGCUAGUAAUCGCGGAUCAGAAUGCCGCGGUGAAUACGUUCCCGGGUCUUGUACACACCGCCCGUCACACCAUGGGAGUCGGAAAUGCCCGAAGUCUGUGACCCAACCGAAAGGAGGGAGCAGCCGAAGGCAGGUCGGAUGACUGGGGUGAAGUCGUAACAAGGUAAC
rnacentral:rRNA from 1 species